GAUGAACGCUGGCGGCGUGCCUAAUACAUGCCAGUCGAGCGAACAGACGAGGAGCUUGCUCCUCUGACGUUAGCGGCGGACGGGUGAGUAACACGUGGAUAACCUACCUAUAAGACUGGGAUAACUUCGGGAAACCGGAGCUAAUACCGGAUAAUAUAUUGAACCGCAUGGUUCAAUAGUGAAAGACGGUUUUGCUGUCACUUAUAGAUGGAUCCGCGCCGCAUUAGCUAGUUGGUAAGGUAACGACUUACCAAGGCAACGAUGCGUAGCCGACCUGAGAGGGUGAUCGGCCACACUGGAACUGAGACACGGUUCAGACUCCUACGGGAGGCAGCAGUAGGGAAUCUUCCGCAAUGGGCGAAAGCCUGACGGAGCAACGCCGCGUGAGUGAUGAAGGUCUUCGGAUCGUAAAACUCUGUUAUUAGGGAAGAACAAAUGUGUAAGUAACUAUGCACGUCUUGACGGUACCUAAUCAGAAAGCCACGGCUAACUACGUG
rnacentral:rRNA from 1 species